rnacentral:rRNA from 1 species
AGAGUUUGAUUCUGGCUCAGGAUGAACGCUAGCGGGAGGCUUAAUACAUGCAAGUCGAGGGGUAACAGGGGCUUCGGCCCGCUGACGACCGGCGCACGGGUGAGUAACGCGUACGCAACUUGCCUCCAAGCGAGGGAUAGCCCCGGGAAACUGGGAUUAAUACCUCAUGUGAUUAUAUAGCUGCAUGGCUGUAUAAUUAAAGUUCCGGCGCUUGGAGAUAGGCGUGCGUCCCAUUAGCUGGUUGGUGAGGUAACGGCUCACCAAGGCGACGAUGGGUAGGGGGCGUGAGAGCGUGGCCCCCCACACGGGUACUGAGACACGGACCCGACUCCUACGGGAGGCAGCAGUAAGGAAUAUUGGACAAUGGAGGCAACUCUGAUCCAGCCAUCCCGCGUGCAGGAUGAAGGCCCUAUGGGUUGUAAACUGCUUUUGACAGGGAAGAACCCCCUCCUUUUAAGGGGGGCUGACGGUACCUGUGGAAUAAGCACCGGCUAACUCCGUGCCAGCAGCCGCGGUAAUACGGAGGGUGCGAGCGUUAUCCGGAAUCACUGGGUUUAAAGGGUGCGUAGGCGGCGCAGUAAGUCAGGGGUGAAAGGCUCCCGCUCAACGGGAGGACUGCCUUUGAUACUGCUGUGCUUGAAUCAGGUUGAGGGCAGCGGAAUGUGGCAUGUAGCGGUGAAAUGCAUAGAUAUGCCAUAGAACACCGAUUGCGAAGGCAGCUGCCUGGGCCUGGAUUGACGCUGAGGCACGAAAGCGUGGGGAGCGAACAGGAUUAGAUACCCUGGUAGUCCACGCCCUAAACGAUGUUCACUCGAUGUUGGGCCUACGGGCUCGGCGUCCAAGCGAAAGCGUUAAGUGAACCACCUGGGGAGUACGUCGGCAACGAUGAAACUCAAAGGAAUUGACGG